AUUGACCGCUGGCGGCAGGCUUAACACAAGCAAGUCGAGCGGUAGAGAGGUGCUUGCACCUCUUGAGAGCGGCGGACGGGUGAGUCAUGCCUAGGAAUCUGCCUGGUAGUGGGGGAUAACGCUCGGAAACGGACGCUAAUACCGCAUACGUCCUACGGGAGCAAGCAGGGGACGUUCGGGCCUUGCGCUAUCAGAUGAGCCUAGGUCGGAUUAGCUAGUUGGUGAGGUAAUGGCUCACCAAGGCGACGAUCCGUAACUGGUCUGAGAGGAUGAUCGCUCACACUGGAACUGAGACACGGUCCAGACUCCUACGGGAGGCAGCAGUGGGGAAUAUUGGACAAUGGGCGAAAGCCUGAUCCAGCCAUGCCGCGUGUGUGAAGAAGGUCUUCGGAUUGUAAAGCACUUUAAGUUGGGAGGAAGGGUCGUUACCUAAUACGUGACGAUUUUGACGUUACCGACAGAAUAAGCACCGGCUAACUCUGUGCCAGCAGCCGCAGUAACAC
rnacentral:rRNA from 1 species